GAUGAAGAACGUUGCGAAAUGCGAUAAGUAAUGUGAAUUGCAGAAUUCAGUGAAUCAUCGAAUCUUUGAACGCACCUUGCGCCCUUUGGCUAUUCCGAAGGGCAUGCCUGUUUGAGUAUCAUGAACACCUCAACUCUCAUGGUUUGCCAUGAUGAGCUUGGACUUUGGGGGUCUUGCCGGCCUAUGGGUCGGCUCCUCUCAAAUUAAUCAGCUUGCCAGUGUUUGGUGGCAUCACAGGUGUGAUAACUAUCUACGCUUGUGGUUUUCCAUCAGGUAACCUUCAGUGAUGGAGGUUCGCUGGGGCUCAUAAAUGUCUCUCCUCAGUGAGGACAGCUUUUUUGAACGUUUGAUCUCAAAUCAGGUAGGACUACCCGCUGAACUUAAGCAUAUCAAUAAGCGGAGGA
rnacentral:misc_RNA from 1 species